CCCAGCGGUCUCUUCCUCUCCGUCGCUCCGUCGCUCCGUCGACUGUGUCAACAAGUGGACGCCGCGCCGGAGCCUCCGGGACCGAAAAGGCAAAGCUCGGCGCCGCUGAGCAGACCUGCCAAAAGGAAUUCUGCCUCUGUCUGGUCCCUCAACGAGAUGCCACAGCGAGGGGAAAGGAGGAUGUCGUCACCCAUUCUGCCCUCCGCGCCCACGUGGGCGUACUCGCGUGCUCGAGCUCAUCCGUGCAGAUGUUCCGCGAUCUCGGCUAGAGACCGUAUGUAUGUCGCAGACAUCAGCAAAGGACGUCAGAACCCAAGCGCCAGCCGACCCAGUUACGCUUGCGGAGUCACGUGACGUCACCUCGCGUCGAAGGCAAGCGGAAAAGACAUCGACGCGGGCAAUGCUAGCGUGCGUUAGCGAGGCUCCGUCGUGCUUUUAAAAAACAUUUUUGGAGACGUCCCGGCUGCUCCGCUCAUGCUGUAGAGACCACUAAAGCAGUUUUUAGUGGAGCCAUCAAUGACCGGUUGCGCAAUUACAUCGAGACGAUAUCGCAGCUUCUGUUCUGACAAUACGUGGGAAACGUGAUCUGUUACCCACAUUUUGUCGCUCUCUGCUUAGGACUGUGCAACGGCAGCCCAGAGCGCGUCGACUGUUGCGCAAGCCGAGUGCCGAGGUGGCCCGUCGGAACUGAUUUCAGCAUUUUAGGACUUGAAGGCAGUCAACUGUGAUGUCGGGAGAUGAGAGAAGUCCAGCUCAGAAGCGUACAAUCGGCGAGUGAGCGACAUUUGGAGGGCGCGUGAAGAUGAAUCCUGAGCAGGAUUCAGUCCAAGAAACAGCACCGCGCUUCAUCUCAUGAGGAGCGUUUAGGACGGGAGGCCAAAACUUCCGCAGACAUUAAAAGACGAUCGGGCGCCACGAUGAGACCAAAGGUCCUUUUUUUUUUUUUUUCAGAUUUUAGCCAAACUCUUGGGGAUGAUGCGAAAAGGCAAAACCUCGACCUCCCAAUUAAUUUGCUCCCGGGGGCGGCGCUCUUUUGGUGGUGUGCGACAUUCACUUAAUAUUUCAUGCUAUCAUUCGUAAUCCAAUCUUUUUGAAUCAUCCUCGUCGGCACCGCGCGUGUGCCGAAAGCUCCUUCACGAUUCAAAGUGUGCAAAUCGCGUUUGGGGGGGCUGUAAUUGGUGAUCCUCAGCACCCGCGUCAACUCGUGCGUGACAAUAUCUUCAUUAGCGAUCCAAUUAAUUGAUCUUUUCUCGAACGUGUGCGUGCACAUCAAAUUCAUCAGAUUCAGUCGACGUGGCGGCUCAGCACCGAGCAAAAAUGUCACUUCGCGGCGAUCCGUUUGUCUCGAUGUGCAGUGCUCAGAAAUUUCGUUAACGUUGAGUUUUUCCACUUUUCCCGGACCUCAACUCACGGCGCGGCGCCAAAGCGGGCGUCCCGCUAGGAAAACGGUGCUCAAUGAAAUAAGACUAAGCGCAAGAAUAAUUCUUUGUAUUGUGAUUCAAUACUGAGUCUCCUCGGACUCCAAACGAAAGCGCCAAUCUGUUAUUUCCACGUGUGGCCGUAUUAGCGGCGGCUCAGCCGGCCCGGCCCGGCCCGGCCCACGUUGUCCGUUUGAGUGGCUCCGCUGAGCUUUUAUUGAUUUUUCCCACACUGGUCUUUUGUGGCUCGCUCGCCUCCCGCGUUUCCUCUUCGUUGACUCCCUACGUACUUUUCUGGCCCUCAUUUCCUCUCCGCCGUUGUUGCCAUUUGGUCUAAGCUGACAUUUUCCUCCCUGAUAUUUUUCUCUCUCUCGCUGCUGUCUCCUUCCCUCAAACCAUCUCAGCCUCGUGUGCGCCUCCCGCACCUCCAAUGAUUCACUGUAUUUGCACGUGAAGUACUGGCGCUCGCUCCAAUCCGGGAGUACGCGCAGCGUCCUUCGCGUCGCUAGUCCGACAGAAAAGAGUCGUCUCGUGUGAAGACUCACCGGCAGCGGCAGGAGACGUGUGAUUUAUGCAGCGCGUCAGGAGUUAAGACCCGUGUCUUGGCCGCAGCUUUACAAGCGCUAUAAUUCACUCCCGCACUCUGCGAGGUCUGCAUCAAAGACGGAAAACAGACACAAAGCGUCGGGAAGUUCACACCGUCGUACGGUAGACGCAGAACGACUGCGGUGGCGGGUCGUGCAUUUGGCCUUCGGGGGGAAUUUCCCCGAGUUUAUUGCCGCCGUUUUUAUGGCGCGAUGCAAAAACAACAGCGGGUGACUGGAAUCCAAGUUUCAAUCCUACUGUAACAAACACCACAAGUGCAGCCAAGAGAAACACUUGGGAGCAAACGAAUAACACGUCACGGACCGAGUAUUAGAACCGAGGUUGCAAAAGUGCCGAUGUCGGUCGGGCUUCCGAUAAUGUCGAGGUGGACGGAGACGUGCCACCCGCCACCGCUCGCUUGUCUUGCGUGAUUUGAAAAGGUGCACAUCAGGGAUAUGUGCCGUCACCCCGCUCCAUUUCACCAGGUUGACCUUUUCCGUCGAGGAGAGCGCUGGGCGGCGCCGUCGUCGGCCACCGCUUUGGCGAAGGAUCCGUGGAUGGCAUGACCGAGCGUGCGACCGUCACCGAGUCAAAUUUUCCGUUUUUUUGGCCUUUGGUCUUUCUCACGAAUCUUUGGAACAACUGCUCUGAAAUCAUGUCCAUUGGCAUGUGAGCUGGAUUCACUUUUGCUUUCCUUCCUCG